rnacentral:antisense_RNA from 3 species
CGUUAUGGCGGCUGUGCGUGGGAGACCUUCGGGUCUACCGGGUUCUAGAGUCCCGGUCUGCGACCCGCGUACAGCUGCCACCCUU